UACGAGUGGUGCAAGCAUUAUUCGGAAUCAUUGGGCGUAAAGGGUGCGUAGGCGGCGUAUUAAGUCUGUUGUUAAAUAUCUCGGCCUAACCGAGAAAAUGCGAUAGAGACUGGUAUGCUAGAGGAUGGGAGAGAGAAGUGGAAUUCUCGGAGUAGCGGUAAAAUGCGUAGAUCUCGAGAGGAACACCGAUGGCGAAAGCAGCUUCUUGGCCCAAUCCUGACGCUGAUGCACGAAAGCGUGGGGAGCAAACAGG
rnacentral:rRNA from 1 species